rnacentral:rRNA from 1 species
GAUGAACGCUGGCGGCGUGCCUAAUACAUGCAAGUCGAGCGAACAGACGAGGAGCUUGCUCCUCUGACGUUAGCGGCGGACGGGUGAGUAACACGUGGAUAACCUACCUAUAAGACUGGGAUAACUUCGGGAAACCGGAGCUAAUACCGGAUAAUAUAUUGAACCGCAUGGUUCAAUAGUGAAAGACGGUUUUGCUGUCACUUAUAGAUUGAUCCGCGCCGCAUUAGCUAGUUGGUAAGGUAACGGCUUACCAAGGCAACGAUGCGUAGCCGACAUGAGAGGGUGAUCGGCCACACUGGAACUGAGACACGGUCCAGACUCCUACGGGAGGCAGCAGUAGGGAAUCUUCCGCAAUGGGCGAAAGCCUGACGGAGCAACGCCGCGUGAGUGAUGAAGGUCUUCGGAUCGUAAAACUCUGUUAUUAGGGAAGAACAAAUGUGUAAGUAACUAUGCACGUCUUGACGGUACCUAAUCAGAAAGCCACGGCUAACUACGUG